UAUCUCAGUUCGGAUUGGAGGCUGAAACCCGCCUCCAUGAAGUUGGAUUCGUUAGUAAUCGCGCAUCAGCCAUGGCGCGGUGAAUACGUUCCCGGGCCUUGUACACACCGCCCGUCAAGCCAUGGGAGCUGGGGGUGCCUGAAGUUCGUGACCGCAAGGAUCGACCUAGGGCAAAACCGGUGACUGGGGCUAAGUCGUAACAAGGUAAC
rnacentral:rRNA from 1 species